UACGGGGGGGGCAAGCGUUGUUCGGAAUUACUGGGCGUAAAGGGCUCGUAGGUGGCCAACUAAGUCAGACGUGAAAUCCCUCGGCUUAACCGGGGAACUGCGUCUGAUACUGGAUGGCUUGAGUUCGGGAGAGGGAUGCGGAAUUCCAGGUGUAGCGGUGAAAUGCGUAGAUAUCUGGAGGAACACCGGUGGCGAAGGCGGCAUCCUGGACCAACACUGACACUGAGGAGCGAAAGCCAGGGGAGCAAACGGG
rnacentral:rRNA from 1 species